GGAGGGUCAUUGGAAACUGGGGAACUUGAGUGCAGAAGAGGAGAGUGGAAUUCCACGUGUAGCGGUGAAAUGCUAAGAGAUGUGGAGGAACACCAGUGGCGAAGGCGACUCUCUGGUCUGUAACUGACGCUGAGGAGCGAAAGCGUGGGGAGCGAACAGGAUUAGAUACCCUGGUAGUCCACGCCGUAAACGAUGAGUGCUAAGUGUUAGGGGGUUUCCGCCCCUUAGUGCUGCAGCUAACGCAUUAAGCACUCCGCCUGGGGAGUACGGUCGCAAGACUGAAACUCAAAGGAAUUGACGGGGGCCCGCACAAGCGGUGGAGCAUGUGGUUUAAUUCGAAGCAACGCGAAGAACCUUACCAGGUCUUGACAUCCUCUGACAAUCCUAGAGAUAGGACGUCCCCUUCGGGGGCAGAGUGACAGGUGGUGCAUGGUUGUCGUCAGCUCGUGUCGUGAGAUGUUGGGUUAAGUCCCGCAACGAGCGCAACCCUUGAUCUUAGUUGCCAGCAUUCAGUUGGGCACUCUAAGGUGACUGCCGGUGACAAACCGGAGGAAGGUGGGGAUGACGUCAAAUCAUCAUGCCCCUUAUGACCUGGGCUACACACGUGCUACAAUGGACAGAACAAAGGGCAGCGAAACCGCGAGGUUAAGCCAAUCCCACAAAUCUGUUCUCAGUUCGGAUCGCAGUCUGCAACUCGACUGCGUGAAGCUGGAAUCGCUAGUAAUCGCGGAUCAGCAUGCCG
rnacentral:rRNA from 1 species